rnacentral:rRNA from 1 species
AGUGAACGCUGGCGGUAGGCCUAACACAUGCAAGUCGAACGGCAGCACAGUAAGAGCUUGCUCUUACGGGUGGCGAGUGGCGGACGGGUGAGGAAUACAUCGGAAUCUACUUUUUCGUGGGGGAUAACGUAGGGAAACUUACGCUAAUACCGCAUACGACCUACGGGGGAAAGCAGGGGAUCUUCGGACCUUGCGCGAUUGAAUGAGCCGAUGUCGGAUUAGCUAGUUGGCGGGGUAAAGGCCCACCAAGGCGACGAUCCGUAGCUGGUCUGAGAGGAUGGUCAGCCACACGGGAGCUGAGACAGGGUCCAGACGACUACGGUAGGCAGCAGUGGGGAAUGGGGGACAAUGGGCGCAAGCCUGAUCCAGCCAGACCGCGUGGGUGAAGAAGGCGUUCGGUUUGUAAAGACCUUUUGUUGGGAAAGAACAGCAGCCGGUUAAGACCCCGCUGUUCUGACGGUACCCAAAGAAUAAGCACCGGCUAACUUCGUG